rnacentral:rRNA from 1 species
AAGACCUUGCGCUUUUGGAGCGGCCGAUGCCUGAUUAGCUUGUUGGUAAGGUAAAAGCUUACCAAGGCUUCGAUCAGUAGCUAGUCUGAGAGGACGACCAGCCACACUGGGACUGAGACACGGCCCAGACUCCUACGGGAGGCAGCAGUGGGGAAUUUUGGACAAUGGGGGCAACCCUGAUCCAGCCAUGCCGCGUGAGUGAAGAAGGCCUUCGGGUUGUAAAGCUCUUUCAGCCGGAACGAAACGGUUACGGUUAAUACCCGUGACUACUGACGGUACCGGAAGAAGAAGCACCGGCUAACUACGUGCCAGCAGCCGCGGUAAUACGUAGGGUGCGAGCGUUAAUCGGAAUUACUGGGCGUAAAGCGUGCGCAGGUGGUUUUGUAAGUCAGAUGUGAAAGCCCCGGGCUCAACCUGGGAACU